AACGAACGCUGGCGGCAGGCUUAACACAUGCAAGUCGAACGCCCCGCAAGGGGAGUGGCAGACGGGUGAGUAACGCGUGGGAAUCUACCCAGAACUACGGAACAACUGAGGGAAACUUCAGCUAAUACCGUAUACGCCCUACGGGGGAGAGAUUUAUCGGUUUUGGAUGAGCCCGCGUUAGAUUAGCUAGUUGGUGAGGCAAUGGCUCACCAAGGCGACGAUCUAUAGCUGGUCUGAGAGGAUGAUCAGCCACACUGGGACUGGGACACGGCCCAGACUCCUACGGGAGGCAGCAGUGGGGAAUAUUGGACAAUGGGCGCAAGCCUGAUCCAGCCAUGCCGCGUGAGUGAUGAAGGCCUUAGGGUUGUAAAGCUCUUUCAGUGGGGACGAUAAUGACGGUACCCACAGAAGAAGCCCCGGCUAACUUCGUGCCAGCCGCCGCUGUAACAC
rnacentral:rRNA from 1 species